rnacentral:lncRNA from 1 species
GGAAUGGGCAUUGUAGCAAUGUCACAGUUCUUAAUAUAAUAGUAGUGUAUCCACUUGAUCUAUAAACAAUCUUUCUUCCUAGCCAAAUCUCACAGUAGCUUGGUGAUAGCAGCCGUAUUCCAUAUCUGCAUGUUUAUAAUGUUGAGGCCUCCAGCAGUGAUAGGUCUACAGAUCUUUUCCCAUGCUACCAGAGCUCUUUUGGAUAUUGUUGCACUUCCAGUCCACAGAUAAGAUCUG